CGGCGGAGUUGUGUUUCUUGACGUCAGCCAUGGAGAAGGUCUUUGACGAAGUGUUAAUGAAGGGUGUUGAGACGCUUUUCUUGAGUGUUUGGUUGCUUUCCGAUGAUAUCUCAAGAUGUCUUUCCUUGGCCAUCCAUCCGCCGGACUGGUUGGCCGGUACGGUAGGAUGCUCGAACACAAUUCCAAUCUCACCCUUGUGUCUCUU
rnacentral:misc_RNA from 1 species